AAAAUAUUUCUCCACCUUCAUCACUGCCAGCCCAGCACACCAGACUUGCUCCCACAUCCCUUUUGAGGAGAGAAUAGUCCUUGGAAUUUUGAAGACAGGUCUGUGGUGUAUGUGGGAGAAUAGUAACUAUUUCACUAAGCAAUCUUCUAAAGUGUCCCCCAACACACCUAAAGUUCCAAACCUUCUCGGAUUCAAACUGCUUCCCCCAGCAACCGGAUUCCAUCUCUUCAGUUCUAUCUGGUGGUCUAGGUGUAUGGAUUCAAACCUAGGAAAAUGGGCCUCAAAUACCGGGAGGGGAAAAAAAGUUCCCUUUCUGGCUGUGAACUUUCCCUGUUGAUAAAAUAUGGUUUCAUAUUUUGCUCAAAAUGAGACCGGUUUCCUGUCUGUGUAUCGAGUGGAAGAACAUCGCAAGGAAUAGCUGCUCCAUCCUCAGAAGGUAAGCCCAGCAAGAUAGCUUCAUUCUAUGAAAAACAAAACAAACACCAACAAUAACAAAAACCAACAACACCAACAAACAAACAAAAAAAACAGGACCAACAACAAUCACAAAAAACCUAAUGACCUGCUGCAAAUGCACAAGAUCAUCACAAGCCUGUUCAGAGAAAGAGAACAAACGAGAAACCCUGAAAAUAAGGAUUUGGGGUUUCUUAAGGUAAGGGAUGGUUAGAAAAUUGUACAUCCUGAAGGCACCAAAAUCAGAAGAACAUAGUUAGUUAGGAGAUGACAGACUUUUUUCUUUUUUCUUUUUUUUUUAAAAACAUCUUUUAGGUUAGAGCCAAGCAUUUCUUUUGAUAGAUUUCAAUGUUUUUCUCAAAGUCUAGACAUAGGGUUAGGGGAUGAAAGGAGUAUAAGUCACGGUCAAAAGCACUCCUGUGUCCUUGUUUCCCAUAUCUGUUUUUUCUUCUAGAGUGACAAAAAUGGGUUGGAUUUGGGUGGGAGAUAUAAUAGAGGUUAGGAAUUACAAAAAGAAUUUAGGUUACUCAAGAAGUUAGGGAAGAGGGGAAAAGGAGAUGGCUCUCUGUUGAAUCUGCUUCAGAUACUUGAGGGCAUGUGGGCUUAAAGCUAAGAAAGCUGGGGGUCACAUUUCUCAUUUAAAACAUCCUGCCUAUUUAAUUUGUAAAGACUACUGUAAAUAAAACAUCCCCAUCCCAUUCCCCUUUCUCAUGACUUGAUUAUUAACAUCUUUCUCUUUCUUGUUUCUCUCUCUAACCAUGAUCAUUAGGAGAAGUAGCCACACAGGACGUGAAAGAGUCUCAGCAGGGCAAGAAAGUACCAGGGAUGGUUAGGGUGGAGCCACUCUGUCUUUGGCAUCAGUGCUCCCAGAAAGUAUAUUUCUGCUUGUAACCUAAAACAAGCCCAAACCUGCUACCUAACUGAAGUCAACUCCGAUCAACUUUUACAGUGCUACCACUAUCCCCAGCCUGCCUGACAACAAGAAUUAGCUUGGAAGCUAAACCAAACCAACACCAGAAUCACCAGCUCACAUCAUGCGAUCAGUUUGGAAAGCAGGGAUUGGACCCUCUCCUAUUUCCCAACAGCCUCACCAAAAUGGAUAGAUUCUUAAAACCCAGCAGAUAUCAGAGUGCCAUUUAAAACCUAGGCACGUUUUUUGGAGCCUAAGGGAACAACUGACUGAAUUCAGUGUCUCAGGAAUUGGGUAUAUGCCUGUAAGGUGUGUGAUCCUUUAAAGAUCUGUGUUACUAGUUUUGCAUGAAAGCUUUGUUACAGCUUUGUUAGCGUGCUUGCAUUCAGCAAUCUUAUUCCUACCCCACCCUUUUUCUCCUCUUCUCUAGAAAUGCCUGACUGAGUUAUUUUGAAGCUCCCCUUUAAAUAUAUUUUAUGAGAAAGUUGCAUACUGACUAUACACCAUGGUCUCCUUCCUUUGCUUGUUGCAAGUAAACUGGUUUUUACUCCCAGACUAUUAGCUGUGAAUAGCUGACUUUCCCUUGACAUAUAUGACUUAUGAAUGGGACUUCUAGUACAUUCACCACUGCUGUUGAAUACUUCUCUCUCCACUCCCAUGCCCACCCCCACCCUCAGCUCAUCCAAGCAAUAGUGGAGAUAAACAGAAAUAACCUGAUAUAGACAGACAUGAUAACCUAGCUUGAUUUUAAAAGUUUAGCAUCUUUUAACAACUAGCAACCAAUUUUUAAUCAUUCCAUAAGUUCAUUGUUCCAGAAGUUUAAAUAUGGAUUACAAGAGGAUACAUAUUUUUUGGGAGAAUUAGGAAUGAGUAUGAUAAUUGUAAAAUAACUUUGAAACUUGGAAAAUAGGUGUCUGAAUUAAGAAGUGAAUAUAUAUUGAUGUUGACUAAGUACACAAUAAAAUACGCAAUUUUCUAUAAUCUGUAAGAUAGCUUCAGCCUAUUUCAAUUUAUUCAUUUUCUAGGGCUUUCCUUACCAUUGAUAUAAGGGGAACAAAUGCAAUGCCUUUUAUUAAUCCCUCUCUGUUUCUCUCUGUCUCUGUCUCUUACAUUUACCACAUGCACAGCACACAUAUCUUCUUAGUUGUUUUUGCUCAGUUGUCCCAAAUUAUCAUAUAAUAUGAUUUAUAGUUAGGGAUAUCACGUACAAGUGGGUAUCUCCCAUUUUAGGCCUUUUCCUCCCUUUGAAGCUAUAGUUAAAGCUUGAAAAACAAAAGAGAAAGGUAAUUGAUAUCCUUCUUUGUUCCCCUACCUCCUUAAACUAAUAAAGGGAAUCUGACAAGGAAAGCUAACAGAAACAUCUGCAUUUGUAAAUAAUACUGACUUCACAUCCUCCUAACCUCAGCAAUUAAAACAACUACUUAUAAACAACAACAACAACAACAACAACAACAAGAACAACAACAACAACAACAACAACAUCCAGGAUAAAAGUAAAGCUUUAGGCAGAUUUGUGCACCUAAUUAAGUUUAGGACCAGAGCCCUCCAGUCUCCGAGCUAUGUAUGAGAAGCUGGAUAACUUCAUUCUGUCUCUCCCCCUUUUCAAAAGCAACUUCAGGGAUAUCUUUAGUACCUGUUACAACUUUUCUUUCAGGAUGGUUAAAAAAAAAAUCCCAUAUGGAAGAAAGCAAAGUGAUUGUAUCUAACCAGCUAGCUUUAAGAUGUUUUGAAGUUGAAAAGAAAGUUUCUUUGGCCCUUGCUCUGAAAAUUUGAAUAAAUGGAGAACUAAUAUUCAUAAAAAA